rnacentral:hammerhead_ribozyme from 1 species
UGCCAGUUGACGAGUCCCAAAUAGGACGAAACGCGCAUCAUGGAU